rnacentral:rRNA from 1 species
UACGGAGGGUCCAAGCGUUAUCCGGAAUCAUUGGGUUUAAAGGGUCCGUAGGCGGUUUUGUAAGUCAGUGGUGAAAGCCCAUCGCUCAACGGUGGAACGGCCAUUGAUACUGCAAGACUUGAAUUAUUGGGAAGUAACUAGAAUAUGUAGUGUAGCGGUGAAAUGCUUAGAGAUUACAUGGAAUACCAAUUGCGAAGGCAGGUUACUACCAAUAUAUU